rnacentral:lncRNA from 1 species
AAACGUUCCAAUUCUAGAGAGAGUAAGGUCUCAUUCUAGAGAGAGAGUAAGGAAGUUCUCCUUUCUAGAGAGAGACAAGGUAAGGUACUAAGGUCUCCAUUCCAGAGAGAGAGAGGAAGCAAGGUCUCCAUUCUAGAGAGAGAGAGGAAGCAAGGUCUCCAAUCUAGAGAGAGAAGGUACAUUAAAUUUUAUAGUUGGUGCAAAGAAACCCGAAUGUUUUAUGUUAGAGAGAGAGAGUAUAGUAUAAGUUUUAUAUAUUCUCAAUUCUUCCCACUAGAUAAUCAAUCGUCUCCAUUAGAGAGAGAGUGGAGUAUACCAUAUGUUUACGCAACGGCAAAGAAAUCCAAGAGUUUUAGAAUUCUUAUUCUCUCUCACUUCCUCUUUGAUCUCUGAUUUAUUUAUUUAUUUUUCAUUUAAAUUGGGUUUUGGGCCUCUGCAAAAGAAUUGAAAGGGAGGCCAUUAAUGUGUUUGGUGGAAGCCUGAGGACAUAAGAUGGGGAUAUGUCGAGAUGGAUCUGUAAAUUUUACGAUGUACCAGAUUUAAUGCUCUCUUUCUCUCUCUUCUUUUUUAUAUUGUCAGGUUUAGAGAGUGAAAGAGAUAGAGAGAGAAGCUUUGCCCCACUCCUCUAUACCUUUUGCCCCCACAUCUCCUGAUUUGGGUGGAAUUCCCUCUCUUUUUAAACGUUUUGCAGGCUUGAUCUCAAUCAGGUUUCAUUCCCUCUCUCUCUCUCUAAACUUCAGCACAAUCAUCUCUCUCUCUCUUCUUCCUCUCUCUACCUAUGGAGCUGGUUAGGGUGCUACUGGUGAUAAGUGUGUUGUAUCUUGUGAGCAUUGAAUCUGGUUCUUUAGCAAGAGAAAUUCCUGGUAAUUAUCAAGUGGGAAUAGUAGAAAAGUGCAGAGGAAAACGGGUUUCUCUCUGUAAAAAUUUUGGAGAGCUUCCAAAGAACACGACUUUAGAUGAGAAGAGAAGAGUACCUACGGGCCCAAAUCCAUUGCAUAACAGAUAAGAGACGAAACGGAGCCCUUUUUUUAUACUGUUUCCAUUACCCCAACUUAGUUUGCGUUGUUUUCUUGAUAGAGAAAGAGAAAGUUAGAGAGAGAGAAGAACCAGAGGAAUAAGAAGCAUGGUUUUCUUGUAAAGAUGAGCAAGAAGAUGAUACAAGCUUGUGGUUUUCCUGGUGCAAGGACUGAAGUUUUUUGUGGGAUUGGGCCACCACAAAUUCGAGAAAGAAUACCCAUUUCUCUUUUUCUCUCUGUUUUCUCUUUUCUCUCUCUAGAAUUUGUAAGCAGUUGAUACAAAAACUCGAUUUCAUCCUUGUUCUUUGUCACGAGAGCAGAGGCACUAUAAAUCUGAGGUGUGAUUCUCUCUCUUUCUAAAUUUUAAAGCUGCAAGGGGACUGUUGCAUCCUUGCAGCUGGUUUUAGAGGGAGAUUAAUGUAAAGCGGUUCUGUUUCUAUAUAAUUCAUAGACAAUUUUC